rnacentral:rRNA from 1 species
GAUGAACGCUGGCGGCGUGCCUAAUACAUGCAAGUCGAGCGAACAGAUAAGGAGCUUGCUCCUUUGACGUUAGCGUCGGACAGGUGAGUAACACGUGUCUAACCUACCUAUAAGACUGGGAUAACUUCGGGAAACCGGAGCUAAUACCGGAUAACAUAUUGAACCGCAUGGUUCAAUAGUGAAAGGCCGCUUGGCUUUCACUUAUAGAUGGAUCCGCGCCGUAUUAGCUAGUUGGAAAGGUAACGGCUUACCAAGGCAACGAUACGUAGCCGACCUGAGAGGGUGAUCGGCCACACUGGAACUGAGACACGGUCCAGACUCCUACGGGAGGCAGCAGUAGGGAAUCUUCCGCAAUGGGCGAAAGCCUGACGGAGCAACGCCGCGUGAGUGAUGAAGGUCUUCGGAUCGUAAAACUCUGUUAUCCGGGAAGAACAAAUGUGUAAGUAACUGUGCACAUCUUGACGGUACCUGAUCAGAAAGCCACGGCUAACUACGUG